UACAGAGGGUGCGAGCGUUGUUCGGAAUUACUGGGCGUAAAGCGCGCGCAGGCGGCCUUUUAAGUCUGGCGGUGAAAUGCCGGGGCUCAACCCCGUUGCAUGCCGCGGAUACUGGGAGGCUGGAGACGAGUAGAGGCAAGCGGAAUUCCGGGUGUAGCGGUGGAAUGCGUAGAGAUGUGGAGGAAUACCGAUGGCGAAGGCAGCCUCCUGGGCCAACACUGACGCUCAUGCACGAAAGCGUGGGGAGCAAACAGG
rnacentral:rRNA from 1 species